rnacentral:rRNA from 1 species
UACGGAGGGUGCAAGCGUUGUCCGGAUUUAUUGGGUUUAAAGGGUGCGUAGGUGGUUUUUUAAGUCAGUGGUGAAAGCCUACAGCUCAACUGUAGAGGUGCCAUUGAAACUGGAGAACUUGAGUAUGGACGAGGUAGGCGGAAUUUGUGGUGUAGCGGUGAAAUGCAUAGAUACCACAAAGAACACCAAUAGCGAAGGCAGCUUACUGGACCAUAACUGACACUGAGGCACGAAAGCGUGGGGAGCGAACAGGAUUAGAUACCCCCGUA